ensembl:lncRNA FBXL9P F-box and leucine rich repeat protein, pseudogene
CGGCAGGGAUGCGAUGGCGGAGUCGCUGCCCCUGGAGAUGCUCACAUAUAUUCUGAGCUUCCUGCCUCUGUCAGAUCAGAAAGAGGCCUCCCUCGUGAGUUGGGCUUGGUACCGUGCUGCCCAGAAUGCCCUUCGGGAGACAGAUGUGCGAUACAACAUCCCCGUGUCCUCUGCCUCCCUCUCGGCCAUCAAGAGCCUGGGCCUCAGGGGCAUCUGCUGCAUCAGCCUGACCAACCUGGAUGGCUCUCUGGCUUCACACCAGGUGCUACAAUCUGUUGCUUACCACCUGGGCCCACACCUGCAGAGCUUGUCCCUGGGUGGAGGCAGCCCCACAGAGGCCUCCUCUGUGGCCCUGAUCCUGGGCUGCCCAGCCCUGUGUGUCCUUGACCUCAGUGGCUGCAAUAGCCUCUUCACCUCGGGCACACUGCUGGCUCAGCCAGAGAUGGCACAGAGCGUCCAGCAGGCUUUGAGCGGCCUCCGUGAGCUCAACCUGGCUGGCCUGCGAGACCUGGCUGACCUCAGCUUCAACCAGCUCAGCAGCUGUGCCCCCAGCCUGGAGCGCCUCUCCUUGGCAUACUGCCACCUCACCUUCGAGCUAGGCCCAGCCUGAGGCUCCAUCGGCCCCCAAGACUCCUCUCCCGCCCAGUUCUCCUUCUGCAACCUGCUGCGAUUAGUGCAAGAGCGGGCUGGCAGGCUGCGUGCCCUGGACCUGAGUGGCACUGGCUUGCCCCCCGAGGCCCUGCAGGCUCUGGGCCAGGUAGCUGGGCUGCAGCUUCAGGAGCUGAGCCUGCACAGCUGCCGGGACCUCUCCACAGAGGCUGUGGCUACCCUGUGCUUCCAGCAACCAGGCCUUACCUCCCUGGACCUCAGUGGCUGCUCAGAACUGACUGAUGGGGCGCUCUUGGCCGUGAGCCGGGGCCUGCGGCACCUGCGGCGCCUGAGCCUGGGGAAGCUGCAGCGGCUGACAGAUGCAGGAUGUACAGCUCUGGGUGGCCUGCAGGAGCUGCAGAGCCUCGACAUGGCCGAGGGCGGGAACUGGCCCAGGCCCUGGGCUGUAUGCACGGGGCUCCAUCCCAGCUGGCCUCCCUCAGCCUGGCCCACUGCUCUUCAUUGAAG